CAGUCGCCGCGGUAAUACAGAGGGUGCGAGCGUUAAUCGGAUUUACUGGGCGUAAAGCGUGCGUAGGCGGCUUCUUAAGUCGGAUGUGAAAUCCCUGAGCUUAACUUAGGAAUUGCAUUCGAUACUGGGAAGCUAGAGUAUGGGAGAGGAUGGUAGAAUUCCAGGUGUAGCGGUGAAAUGCGUAGAGAUCUGGAGGAAUACCGAUGGCGAAGGCAGCCAUCUGGCCUAAUACUGACGCUGAGGUACGAAAGCAUGGGGAGCAAACAGGAUUAGAGACCCCGGUAGUCCCUGUCUCUUAUAC
rnacentral:rRNA from 1 species